GGUUUUAUAGUUUAUUUAAAAUGCUAAAUUGCAAAUUUAAUGAUACAUAUUAUGUUAAAACUU
rnacentral:tRNA from 1 species